rnacentral:misc_RNA from 1 species
GGAAGGAUCAUUAACACGUCCCAAUACCUUUAAACAUGUGCGAACUUGUGCCGGUCGAGAGCGUCUCCGUUGGUUCAGAGACACUCGAUCGCGUUAAAUAUAACAAACCCCAUUUUAAACCACUUAACCUUAACAGUUUGACAGUCUAAACGAAUUGAACAAGUACUGGAAGGUGCUUGGCAAAACGCUUCAAAUACAACUUUUAGCAACGGAUAUCUUGGUUCUCGCAACGAUGAAGAACGCAGCGAAAUGCGAUACGUAAUGCGAAUUGCAGAAUUCAGUGAAUCAUCGAAUCUUUGAACGCAAAUUGCGCUUUCGGGCAUCUGCUCGGAAGCAUGCCUCUUUGAGUAUCGGUUCUUCCUCACUUUCAGGCUUGCUUGAAGGUGUAAAAAUCCAUUGAGUCGUCCUGCUUCUCUGAAGUGGGUCACUUUAAAUAUCCAACUUGGUGUUGGUUGCAGGCUGGUUGUGCUUGCUUUGCAAGUUUGCAACACAUUGAGGUGGUCUGACUACUGAUAAUGUGAAGUGAGCGAGUAAAGCUCGGGUGCAAAGGGCUUGUGGUCGAUGUCAUACCCAUACUUUCUGAUCUCAAAUGAGGCAAGAGGACCCGCUGAAUUUAAGCAUAUAAAUAAGCGGAGGAAAAGAAACUAACAAGGAUUCCCCUAGUAACGGCGAGUGAAGCGGGAAGAGCUCAAUCUGAAAAUUGGAGGGCCUUGGGCUCUCUGAAUUGUAGUCUAAAGAACUGAUGGCAGUGUGUGGCCCGGACCUAAGUCCGUUGGAAGACGGCGUCAUAGAGGGUGAGAACCCCGUCUAUGGUUCGGAGACCGCCACGUACGUCAUUAGUUUUUCGAGUCGGGUUGUUUGGGAAUGCAGCCCAAAAUGGGUGGUAAAUUCCAUCUAAAGCUAAAUACUUGCGAGAGACCGAUAGCGAACAAGUACCGUGAGGGAAAGAUGAAAAGAACUUUGAAAAGAGAGUUAAAAAGUGCUUGAAAUUGCUAAAAGGGAAGCAAUGGAAACCAGUAGUCGUGGUGUACUCAUUUUCCUGUUUGAGCGGUGGACUGGGUGGUGUCGGUGAGUUCAAAAGACCACUGGCGCUGUUCAGCUCUGCUGUUCGGGCAGUCCCUAUGGGUAUGCUCGUGUCAAUCCUGCUUCGGAAAUAAUUCACAGGAUAUGCGCCUGGAGGAAGGUAGCAGGGAUCUGUGUACUCAGUGAACUGUGUUAUAGCCUCUGGGACCGUGCUGUGCAACUGGAGCGGCGAGUCUUGCCUCUCGUUAGGUGAGCUCCCUGCAGCGUAAGCCGGUGGGUGCUGUUUGUCAGGCGGUGCUGGGACAACAAAGUUGUGCUAGUGCUGUAACUUACCCUGGUGGACACCGUUCGCUGGCUGAGUUGUGGGCAUUGACGUAAAUGGUUUUCACUGACCCGUCUUGAAACACGGACCAAGGAGUCUGACAUAUAUGCGAGUAUUUGGGUGCUUGAAACCCUGAUGCGUAAUGAAAGUGAAGGCAGGCAUUGGUCUGCUGAGGUGGGAUUCCAACCCCUCCGGGGAUUUAUCGUUGGAAGCACCAUCGACCGAUCGUUCACUUGUGGAGGAUUUGAGUAAGAGCAUAUCUGUUGGGACCCGAAAGAUGGUGAACUAUGCCUGGACAGGGCGAAGCCAGGGGAAACUCUGGUGGAGGCUCGUAGCGAUACUGACGUGCAAAUCGUUCGUCUGAUCUGGGUAUAGGGGCGAAAGACUAAUCGAACCAUCUAGUAGCUGGUUCCCUC